UACGUAGGUGGCAAGCGUUGUCCGGAAUUAUUGGGCGUAAAGCGCGCGUAGGCGGCCUAUUAAGUCUGAGGUGAAAGCCCCCGGCUCAACCGGGGAGGGCCAUUGGAAACUGGGAGGCUUGAGUAUAGGAGAGAAGAGUGGAAUUCCACGUGUAGCGGUGAAAUGCGUAGAGAUGUGGAGGAACACCAGUGGCGAAGGCGGCUCUUUAGCCUAUAGCUGACGCUGAGGGGCGAAAGCGUGGGGAGCGAACAGG
rnacentral:misc_RNA from 1 species